rnacentral:rRNA from 1 species
AGUGAACGCUGGCGGUAGGCCUAACACAUGCAAGUCGAACGGCAGCACAGUAAGAGCUUGCUCUUACGGGUGGCGAGUGGCGGACGGGUGAGGAAUACAUCGGAAUCUACUUUUUCGUGGGGGAUAACGUAGGGAAACUUACGCUAAUACCGCAUACGACCUACGGGUUAAAGCAGGGGAUCUUCGGACUUUGCGCGAUUGAAUGAGCCGAUGUCGGAUUAGCUAGUUGGCGGGGUAAAGGCCCACCAAGGCGACGAUCCGUAGCUGGUCUGAGAGGAUGAUCAGCCACACUGGAACUGAGACACGGUCCAGACUCCUACGGGAGGCAGCAGUGGGGAAUAUUGGACAAUGGGCGCAAGCCUGAUCCAGCCAUACCGCGUGGGUGAAGAAGGCCUUCGGGUUGUAAAGCCCUUUUGUUGGGAAAGAAAAGAAGCAGGUUAAUACCCCGCUGUUCUGACGGUACCCAAAGAAUAAGCACCGGCUAACUUCGUG